CCUACGGGAGGCUGCAGUGGGGAAUAUUGCACAAUGGGGGAAACCCUGAUGCAGCAACGCCGCGUGGGUGAAGGAGCGUUUCGGCGCGUAAAGCCCUGUCAGCGGGGAAGAAGAAAGACGGUACCCGACUAAGAAGCCCCGGCUAACUACGUGCCAGCAGCCGCGGUAAUACGUAGGGGGCAAGCGUUAUCCGGAUUUACUGGGUGUAAAGGGAGCGUAGACGGUUAUGCAAGUCUGAAGUGAAAGCCCAAGGCUCAACCAUGGGACUGCUUUGGAAACUGUAAAACUGGAGUGCAGGAGAGGUAAGCGGAAAUCCUAGUGUAGCGGUGAAAUGCGUAGAUAUUAGGAGGAACACCAGUGGCGAAGGCGGCUUACUGGACUGUAACUGACGUUGAGGCUCGAAGGCGUGGGGAGCAAACAGGAUUAGAUACCCCAGUAGUC
rnacentral:rRNA from 1 species